rnacentral:misc_RNA from 1 species
GGCCUUCACAAAAUCACAGGUCUUGUCCAUUCCUGCAAUGCGAUUCAGUUCCUUUCCUCUUGCUAUCUGAUAUUCGUUGUUGUUCAGCCCUGUAACAGAUGUCAAGCUGAAUCGAGCAAUUUCUCUCAGUGGUCCACCAAUUCCACAUCCUACAUCCAAUACCUUGUUUCCAGGUUUCAGGCCAAGCUGUAAAGCAAGAAAGUGCUCAUGUCGCUUAAUGCUUUCCCGAAGGGACUCCCCUUUAAAUCUGUGUGCAAAAUGGAAAGACUCUCCCCAGCCAAACUCAUAAAAGCUAGUAACAAGAUUAUAGUAUUUAUUAACCAUGUCAGUGUAGUUGGCUUUUCUCUCUUCCUCAGCACCUCCAUAAAAGACAUGAUACUUCUCAUAUUUUUCGACGGCGGAGAGAACUUCACUUUUAUCUAUCUUUCCGCCGAGACCGGAGGCGAGAUCGAAUGCGCCGGCUUUCGACAUAUUGAGAAACAGAUUCACCGGGAUAUUGCAAGAGGAAGAAUGCUGAGUAGAG